GGCAUUUCUUGAAGGAAGCACUCCAUCUUCGGUGCCAGCCCCUGCUGCAGGAAGGAAGGCAAAGCCAGACACGGGCACAGGCACAGCAGACUGGGAUGCUGGGAAGGAUUCUCCAUUAGCCUGGCGCUCUGAAGUUGUGAAGCACUCUGAGCAUUCUGCAGGCGUGUCUGCAGGGACGACCUCACCAACUCCUACCUUGGAUGCUGCACAAAAGGCCAGCUCCCAUGGCAGGGGUGAG